UGACAACUCUGACAAUCAGAGUGGCCUGGAAGAAGAAGGCAGCCACAGCAGACAUACGAUCGCAUUCUGAGAACAGUCACAAAGCAGUCCAUUUGUCCAAAAGCUAAAAUAUGGACCUAAAAAUAUGAAUGGCCCGUACUGUUAUCUACCCAUUGCAGCAGGCCAAGUUGCCAACAAUGAAGAACUUCACACAGAACUCAGGAAGUAGGAAAUGCUACUAGCCCCUGAAGAAAGCCUUGAGGCUGAGAUACGUUGGGCAUAUAAUAUCUACCGGUAAUAAAAGGACCUCAUGUACAUU